AAUAGGUAAAAAAAAAAAAAACAGUGUCUCUGGCUGUUAUAAAACCUCAGUCCGAGUGCGCUAGUCGUCCGGGUCGGUCCGUUCUUCGUCUGUGCGCUCCGUCAGCUUGGCAUUUUCGCUAUCAUUUCAAAGAGCCCCAUUUUUUUUUUUUUUUUUUUUUAAUAAUUUUCUUACAUAGUUGGUCGUGUUUUGCGAGACAUAAUAAUGAACUAAAUGUCAAAGGUCAAUGGAUAACCCUUCAAAUUGUCGUAUUUACAUCAUUCACCCCAGUCAGCGACACCUAUCCAACUAGCUGCUUGUUACCGAAAAAAACAAAAAAAUACUAAAAAUUUAACGAAAAAUCACGAAAUGAAUCAACAUUCCUCCGCGUGCUUUUCUCCUUACCCGCGGCACACCUUCGUCGUCAGCAGUUUUUCUUGGCUCUUUUUUUUUUUUUUUGUGUUUAACUUCGUGAAAUGAGCAAAUUCCAAUUUAUUAAAUUCUCUUUGUCAAGAUGCCCGAACAGCAUUUUUCUCUCUCUCUCCAAUUUUUUUAUUAUUAUUGUUGCAGUCGUUUCCCAAUCAAGUCGACGCAAGUUUUCAUUUCCGCCAUUAAAAAAAUAAAAGAAUCUUGAAGCUAUGAAAAUCGCACCAGUGCGUGUUUCUAGCGGUAUUCUGACCCGCCGCAACCGACGGCGCUUAAAUACCUUUAUGUACGGUCUUUUUCUUCUUCUCCCGUCAUAUAUAUUUAAAAAAAAAACAAAAAAACGGGUAUCGGUGUAUAUUUGUUGUUGUUGUUGUGUGUUAAAUUUUUAACCUUCUUUCAUGUCGAUGUCAUCCUUCCAAACUAGUUACUUUCGAUCGAAAUGCGGGACGAAUGGACGACAAUAGCGUGUCAGCAUGCUGGCACUAUUUGGUUUUAAUUCAGGUCAAAAUCAUCUGUCACGGUGAGACGAAUAUAAAAUGGAGAUCGUUUUGAAAAAAACAAAAAACUAAAUGGCCCUCCCCCCGCCGAUGAUUGGAAUCUUUUUUCUGGUGUUUAUCUUUCGUAGGAACGAUAAGGAAAAAUAGAUGUUCGUGUAAAAAGAAAUUGUGCUUCGGGAUCCGGAGGCAUCAGAGAUGCUGAGACCGUGGAAUGGGGUCAAAUGACUUAUAAGAAAGAAAGAAAGAGAGAGAGGUCAUCUCUCUCUAUUCUUCAUAAUAUCCCGCACAAGAGGUUUCGUUUGGCCUACUUCAGUUCCGGCUUCGCCUUAUACAGCGGUGGAAAAAAAAUUCAUGUCGAAGAGUCGGUCAUGAAAUGAUCAUAUGCAAAUUUAAUGCGCGUGUGUGUCGAAAUCAGCUUCUUUUGCCUUGUUUGUUGCGACCACAACACAAUGAAAUGAAAUUUAAAAAACAAAACAAAACAAAAACAUUCGCCAUCAGUUUAGAAAGAAAAGAUGGUGGGAUUUCGUCAUGCGACGUCGAUCGAAAUGCUGAAUAAACUUUUUAAAAUGAAGACAGGCAAUCGAGGAAAUGAAGGAUAUUUGAUGAUGGCGGCAAUAAGCUGGUCAUAAUACAGUACCAUACGGGGCCGAGGUUGUUUCACAGUUCCAAACUGCAGCAAACGGUCAGCAAAAGCAACGGUCAGCACCAUGGCCAGGUUGGCCCUCAGGUGUUUUCAUCCUCUCUGUAAUAAGUUACAGCCACUAGAAAAAGAAGGGAGAGAUGCGGUCCAUCUACGGACGGCAGCUGUCUUGAAAAUGCCCCCUUCCUAUUUUCUUCUUCUUUCCUUCAUUUCUGCCCUACAGCUCACAACGCAGGUUGUUUCCCUUUUGUGUGCGCAGUAGGAGAAAAAGCUCAUCAUUCAUCUCGUUGAGUUUCUUCUUCAACCCUCAUUGGGCCGCUCACGGGCCUCAACGGAUCCGAUGGCUGAAGGGAACCCCCCACAUAUUCGAGAAUUAAGAUCUAAAUAAUAACGCCCUGAUUGGUCCCCUCCUGCUGUUCAUCCGACCAUUUCAUGUGUCGUCCAUUACGAAUUGGCUACGCAGCAGUUCCAUUCUGUACCCUCAUCAUGCACCUUUUCAUUCCGCCAUUUUGAUAGAAUUAUCCCCCCACCCCACUCCUCUUUAAAUCCCUAACAUGUAGCAGUCCCCCGCUUUCUCCUGUCUCUUCAUUGGACGAUGAGAUUAUCAAAUAGCGGGCGACUCCCCAACCAUUUCCUGUACGUCGUGGAAUGUUCGGGUCUUUUCACAACGGAAAAAUCAAAUAAAUUCCUGUACGAUUUUAUCGCGAUUCACUUGCACACAUCGGUCGAUUCCCCUCUACUGAAAUAUUGCUGUCUCCGUCCCCCCAAAAAAAAUAAAAACAAAAUAUCCGGUUAUCAUAAAACUUUAUGCUGAGUUGAGGAUCGUAUCGAUCCUCCCUUUUAUGGCCAUCCGACUGUUGUUGUUUUGUUCUUAGGGCGAUGACUGUAUUGUUUAUACACACACAAUAUCAGCCUGUCCAAAAUGUCCCACGCCAUUUUUCUAUUCACAUCAAAUAACACAGAACCGACUUUUGAAUUUCAAAAAAAAAAAAAUUCUUUUAAAAAUUUGUGUUCCAUAACAGGGUCACGAGAAGAAGAA